rfam:Ictidomys tridecemlineatus contig037507, whole genome shotgun sequence.
GGUAAUGUAGCUCAGUAGUAGAGCCCUUGCCUAGAAUGUUUAAGACCCUGGGUUUGAUCCCCAGCACCACCC